CAAUGACUUUCAGUUCAAUGGCCGCGGUAUCUUGACCGUGCAAAGGUAGCAUAAUCACUUGCCCCUUAAUUAGGGGCUGGCAUGAAAGGACACACGAAAGCUUCCCUGUCUCAUAAUAAUAAAUAAAAAUUAAUCUUUAAGUGAAAAAGCUUAAAUAAAAUUGCAGGACAAGAAGACCCCGUUGAGCUUUAUUCUCUAUAGACUAACCUAAAUAUUUACUAUACCCUAAACCUAAAAAAGAAUUUAGUUGGGGUGACUAAGGAACAUCAUAAACUUCCUCUAUUUAUUUAGGGUUAUUUCCCGAAAAAAUUGACCCAUAAAUUAUGAUCAAAAAAAUAAGCUACCACAGGGAUAACAGGCUAAUCUUUCUUAAGAGCCCAAAUUGUCAGAAAGGAUUGGCACCUCGAUGUUGGCUUAGGGGCCCCUAAUGGUGCAGAAGCCAUAAACGGUAGGUUUGUUCAACCUUUAAAACCC
rnacentral:rRNA from 1 species